CCAGAGUCCACUCUGUGACUCCCGGACGAGGGGCGCCGUACCCGGCACGCGACAAGACGGCCCGCA
rnacentral:ncRNA from 1 species